rnacentral:rRNA from 1 species
GAUCUGCGUACUUUGACGCUUGGCGAGGUGGCUUACGUCGGACUGCUUGUUCAUGUGUCUGUUUUUCUCCCUACCCAAAUCGUUAAUGCGAGAGAUGCCCUUCUCUUGCCAAGCAAGAAAGCACUCUGCGCUCUGCGAGUGGCUUCGACUCGUACGAGGGCCGCACUCAAUGCAGCAGUCACAUUGCUCACAAUGUGAACUCAUAGAGAGCAUGAGCAGUGCAGCAGCCGCUGCCAGUGCUUAGUCACGCAAACUUUCUUGCAUCUGAAAUCAAGCAGGAUCACCCGCUGAACUUAAGCAUAUCAAUAAG